rnacentral:rRNA from 1 species
UGAUUGACGCUGAGGCUCGAAAGUGCGGGUAUCGAACAGGAUUAGAUACCCUGGUAGUCCGCACAGUAAACGAUGAGUGCCCGCUCUCGGUGCGAAAGCGUCGGGGGCCAAGCGAAAGCAUUAAGCACUCCACCUGGGGAGUACGCCGGCAACGGUGAAACUCAAAGGAAUUGACGGGGGCCCGCACAAGCGGAGGAACAUGUGGUUUAAUUCGAUGAUACGCGAGGAACCUUACCCGGGCUUGAACUGAGGAGGCCGGGAGGCAGAGACGCCUUCCAUCCCGCAAGGGUCUCCUUGGAGGUGCUGCAUGGUUGUCGUCAGCUCGUGCCGUGAGGUGUCGGCUUAAGUGCCAUAACGAGCGCAACCCUCCUGCGUAGUUGCCAUCAGUUGGAGCUGGGCACUCUGCGCAUACUGCCAUCGCAAGAUGUGAGGAAGGUGGGGAUGACGUCAAAUCAGCACGGCCCUUACGUCCGGGGCUACACACGUGUUACAAUGGGGGGCACAGAGAGCUGCUACCGUGCGAGCGGCGGCGAAUCUUGAAAUCCCCUCUCAGUUCGGAUCGGAGUCUGCAACCCGACUCCGUGAAGCUGGAUUCGCUAG